rnacentral:rRNA from 1 species
CCAAAGCUGAGGAAAACGAAACCAACCGGGAUUGCCUUAGUAACGGCGAGUGAAGCGGCAAAAGCUCAAAUUUGAAAUCUGGUACCUUCGGUGCCCGAGUUGUAAUUUGGAGAGGGCAACUUUGGGGCCGUUCCUUGUCUAUGUUCCUUGGAACAGGACGUCAUAGAGGGUGAGAAUCCCGUGUGGCGAGGAGUGCGGUUCUUUGUAAAGUGCCUUCGAAGAGUCGAGUUGUUUGGGAAUGCAGCUCUAAGUGGGUGGUAAAUUCCAUCUAAAGCUAAAUAUUGGCGAGAGACCGAUAGCGAACAAGUACAGUGAUGGAAAGAUGAAAAGAACUUUGAAAAGAGAGUGAAAAAGUACGUGAAAUUGUUGAAAGGGAAGGGCAUUUGAUCAGACAUGGUGUUUUGUGCCCUCUGCUCCUUGUGGGUAGGGGAAUCUCGCAUUUCACUGGGCCAGCAUCAGUUUUGGUGGCAGGAUAAAUCCAUAGGAAUGUAGCUUGCCUCGGUAAGUAUUAUAGCCUGUGGGAAUACUGCCAGCUGGGACUGAGGACUGCGACGUAAGUCAAGGAUGCUGGCAUAAUGGUUAUAUGCCGCCCGUCUUGAA